GUGGGUUUACAUCCAUGUUUCUAAAAUUCUCCUUCUUCCCUUUAUACUUUCGACAUGGUACAGAAAUACUGGUAUAUGUAAUUUUGGGAGUGGUUGUGUUUUGGUCACAAAUCUAAAGCUCAUACAAUCUUAUACCGAAACAGAGGGGGAAUUUGAGUCUUUAGUGGUAUUUCUAAUGAUUGUUGAUUGAAACUCUUGAAUGAAUUUUGUUCUGGGAGAGAGUCUGAUCCAGAAGGUCACAGAUGAAAUUAUCUAUUGAGGUAAUAUAUUUAUGAAGAACUUACAAGCCAAUCUCAAUGUAUUUUAUUUUCCAAGAAUAUGUUUUUUAUAAAGUGAACUAUAUUUUUUUAAUUGAAAGCUGUUUUUACAAGAUAGGCGUGUACAGGGAAUGCUUGGAGAGUCAGCAAGAGUGUUGGGAGCAAUGUGAGGGCAACUCUGAGUUUUGUGAAAUGGAUUACUGUCUGCUAACUGUCCUUCAAGCUAUUUAGCAAAUACAGAUGACUAUAGAGUGUGGGCAGAGAUGGUCCUUAUCAAUAAAUAAUUGGAGGAUGCACCACCACAGACUGAUACUCAGAGGUUUCCUCAGAGGAAUCAGCACUCUAAGUAUUCUUCUGAUGAUGCAACAGUCACAGUGGUAACCUGACUUUGCACGACAACAUGGUGGCAAACCCAGGAAAGGGAGACUUAAAAUCUGAGCUCUACUUCAGACUGAGGGUCAUCAACCCCACAGCUCCCAUUUCCCUGGGAGGUUCCCACUGUGUGGGUUACACACCAGGAGAUGUCUUUGUUGAAACUGUGCCUUCUUGUCCCACUACAAGCUUAUGUGUAAGACUCACAGCACCAGAGAACACACAGGGAACCUGCCUGCACCACACAGAAGAAGAGGAGGACGGCUGGUUCAUGAUUGCUGUCAUUCAAUUGUCCUCAUCAAUUCAAAAGAAAAAUAUGAAGCCUCCUGGAGCAGGAAGCAGAUUAUCUUGAAAGAGUCUCCUCCUCACAGUUGGUAUAGAGGAAUUAAUCUAAUCAAUUCCUUGAUUAGAUCUUGAUCAAAAAAUUCAAAGGAAAAAAAUUAAUUACUACAGCACACACUGAAAAGACCACAAAAUAGUUACCAGAUAGCUUCAUUGAAAAAUGUGCUGAGUUGCAGUGGGCUCCGGUAAUAAAAUCAGGAUUGGCUGUUUUCCUUGGGGAUACAGUGGCCUUCAAGUGUGAGUUAUUUAGUGAAAGUCCAAAGGUCUAUGUUAUGCAAGAAGGCAGAUUAGAUGGUCAUAGCAGUCCCUUCUGGUCUUUAGCAAUUAAUCUCUGACGUGUUGUCAGAAGGUUGGUUCAUCACAGCCCAAAAAAAAGCAAUUUCCUUGCUGAUAAAUGAAAAAGUAAAUCAAUUUUUAGCCUUAGAUGAGGAUGAGAUUCCACUGGUCCCUAGGGGCUGUUUCCCUGUUCAGGCUCUGAGCAACUGAGCAAAGGACUGCUGCACCAAACAGCAUGUG